UGGGGAAUUUUUGGACAAUGGGCGAAAGCCUGAUCCAGCAAUGCCGCGUGUGUGAAGAAGGCCUUCGGGUUGUAAAGCACUUUUGUCCGGAAAGAAAUCCUUGGCUCUAAUACAGUCGGGGGAUGACGGUACCGGAAGAAUAAGCACCGGCUAACUACGUGCCAGCAGCCGCGGUAAUACGUAGGGUGCAAGCGUUAAUCGGAAUUACUGGGCGUAAAGCGUGCGCAGGCGGUUUGCUAAGACCGAUGUGAAAUCCCCGGGCUCAACCUGGGAACUGCAUUGGUGACUGGCAGGCUAGAGUAUGGCAGAGGGGGGUAGAAUUCCACGUGUAGCAGUGAAAUGCGUAGAGAUGUGGAGGAAUACCGAUGGCGAAGGCAGCCCCCUGGGCCAAUACUGACGCUCAUGCACGAAAGCGUGGGGGAGCAAAACAGGAUUAGAUACCCUGGUAGUCCACGCCCUAAACGAUGUCAACUAGUUGUUGGGGACUUCAUUUCCUUAGUAACGUAGCUAACGCGUGAAGUUGACCGCCUGGGGAGUACGGUCGCAAGAUUAAAA
rnacentral:rRNA from 1 species